UUUCCCUUCUUUAUUAUAUAUAUUUGUGGUGUUUGGAUCGGAUCAAAAAGGCUCAAAAGAUGGAAAAACAUAUAUGGCAGCCCUCUCCUUUUUAUUAUAUAUUUAUUCUUCUUUUUGGAUUUUUCGACCUCAUGCAGUAUGGGUCCUUGAACUCAUUUAAACCCACCAAACUCCUGACAACAAACUUUACUUUCUCUCUCUUUUUUUUUAUGUGACUUUUCCAAGUCCAAAAAAUUUCUCUUCCUUUCUACGUGACCAAGCUCCCACGUGAGGUGCAGCUUUAGCUUUCCCCUCUCUUGCGAAAUGGCCCCAUAAAUCCAGCUUUUCUUGACUCUAAAUUCCGGUGGUUUUCCUCUAGAAGCAAAAAACAGCCCCGCAAUACUUGGGCUCUUAAUGAUUUCGUAAUGUUUUGAAACUCUUUUCAGGUUUAUCAGCGGAUGAAUUCAGAAAUGAAUAGGGGUAAGAUUGGUGAGGUUUGAACUCUUUUGAAUUGCUCCAAUUUUAUCCUAUUUUCCUCCUAAAUCGCGGAGGCUUCUUAUGUAGGUCACCAAUUUCUUUUCUUUCUGCUGCCUCGGCUCUUCACCACUUGCUUGUCCUCUUUUGGUGGCUCGAAUUCAAAGCAAAAGAGGAAGAAGACAACCAGCAGAAGUAACAACAUCUCUUCGAUUGGUUGUUUGGACAAACAAGUGUUAAUUCAUGGCUUCAAAGGGUAUCCCCUCUCUUUGUUCUGUCCCCCUUUUUUGUUGCAGCUGAUGCCUAUUUAUAGGCAUCAUAGGAGAGUUCUAGAGCUUGUUACGUGGGGGGAAAGAUGGAGGGCAUGACUUCCUGCCACUCUCUCUUAACCUCUCUUAACUGACCCCACGUUUUUUUUCUUUGUUGCAGGAAAGGGGGAAACCUGUUUAUUACUUCCCCCUUUUGUAGGAAAUUUUCCUUAUUUUACUUAUUUAUAUUUUUUUAUUUGUUUAUGGAUAUUUAGUUUGUAUGUAAAGCCCAUUCUUAACUUUUUGGGCUGGUUUACAUUUUUAUUUUGCCUUGUAGUCUGACCCAAUUUGU